rnacentral:rRNA from 1 species
UACAGAGGGUGCAAGCGUUAAUCGGAAUUACUGGGCGUAAAGCGCGCGUAGGUUGUUUGUUAAGUUAGAUGUGAAAGCCCCGGGCUCAACCUGGGAACUGCAUCCAAAACUGGCAAGCUAGAGUAGGGCAGAGGGUGGUGGAAUUUCCUGUGUAGCGGUGAAAUGCGUAGAUAUAGGAAGGAACACCAGUGGCGAAGGCGACCACCUGGGCUCAUACUGACACUGAGGUGCGAAAGCGUGGGGAGCAAACAGG